rnacentral:lncRNA from 1 species
AUUGCUAAGCAUUCAAACAGUCCCACUCUGGUCUCUGGAAUCACUAUGUGUUGAAGGAUGUGUUUUGCUACUCUAAUUAUGGGUUGAAACUCUUAAAAAAAUGCUUGCCAAAAGCAGAACAUCUACCAGUCCACUUCAAUCUUCACACUAUACUUUUUUGAAGAGAACUGGCAUAGCUUUUGCUUUUUCUGUGCUCUUUUUCAUAGCUAUUAGCUAAAUUCUAAAUGGAAUUCGCAAAAUUUGGAUUGCCUUCCUGCAGCUGAGAUGUAUUUAAAAAUUAAUUAAACUGGCAGUUUCUGAUUGCCAGCUAAAACACAUUUAAUCACAUUUUCAUUCAAUUUCAAAAGAUGGAGUUCCUUUCUGACAGCUUGUCACCUAAUGCAUUCCACCAGAUGAGCAAAUAAAAUUUGUUUUAUCUUUCUAAGGAUAUGCAUUGAUCUGACUUGCAGUGUUUCUGUUUGAAAUCUUGCCUGUCUUUGACUUAGAGACUGCUGCUCACACUCAGUAUUUGAUCAGAAUUUUAACCUAGUGGAUGUGUAUGGCAACUUUGAAUUUCUGUGGAACCAGGAUUUUAUUCACAAGUUUCAUACUCUUAUCUAUGAGAUUAUUUUCACUCCUUUUCUGCUUUCUUUCUCCCUUUUUUUCUUUUUCCUUCCUUAAGCCGCUUCAAAGUUUCUCCUGAGACGUUGCGGUUGCUUUGGAGGCAGUCAGCUGCGGCACAUUUUGCUCGGGGGAGGUGAGGGGAGGUGGAGGGAGAAAAGAAAAAAAAAAAACCAAAAAAGAGAGAGAAAGAAAAAAAGACUACCACAAAAUGAUCCAAACCGAUCAACCAAAACAUUGCCAUGUGCUCCGUGGCAGUAGGGGAGGGGCCGAGAGCAUCAGGCAGCGGCAAGUCGCAGGUGGGGAAAACAGCAUCUCGUCGCAGUCUGGGCAAAGCACAGGCUCUCCCUCCUCCGGGUGAGGCCCGGCUGGGGUAAGCACGACUUUCCUCGCAACCUGAGAGCCACGGACAGAAGCAGGCAGUGUCCUGAGGGUUCUUCUUGCCCGACCUGGCCGGUCCGCGGGGCGGAUCUGUAAGCCUCCGCCCGCAAAGAGUCCCCCCUCUGCCGCUAGCCCAGUUGCUUGGCCCGGGGAAACCCGGUGUACUUCCCCUUCCCUGCCUGGCCCGGGGCUGAGGCAGGACUGAGUUGCCCGCCGCAAAGCCCCUCUGCCCGUCCUGUCCCUACCCCUCCGCUGCUGUGCCCAUGCCUGUUCCUCCGGCUGCGGCCGGGCCCCGGGGCCGCUUUCGGCCCGGGGACGAGGGAGGAGGGAAAGGAGCCGGCCCGGACACCGGCACUGGGCCGGCUGCUGCUCACCCCUGCGACGGGUUGCCUGGAAUGAAUGCUUGACCAAAUAUACAUAUAUAUUUUUCCUGUUUAUUUUUGUGUAAUCUGUGUUGCUUGUAAGUAAAAGGGAAUGUGAAAUAUGUGUGUCACGUGAAUGUAAGUGUCCAGUAAUUUCUGAACUUCAACCGCUUACAUUAAACGAAAAUAGUGGUUUUGACAACCUUCGAUAUGUAGCUGGUUUUCUGAAAAUCUUAUCUGGCCUCAUUUUCGCAAUUAAAGUGAUCUUUCAUCUUAUCUCUUCUUUGAUCACUCCUAACCACAAGUGUUCUACAUGUUCUCUAAGUGUCGGAGUGUCAGAGGAGUUAGCCUAGAGCAAUUAGGGACACGAAACUUCUCCUGAGCGCUCAGGUGCCCGGUGGCUUUAGUAACACCUCGCUCCGCGAGUGAGCCUGGACAGAGCUGCCGGGCACCCCGGGGCAGGGAGCGGAGACGGGAGGGCCCUAAGCACCGGCGGUGCGGGGGGAUUGCGGCUGUGCCCACCGCAGGAGGGGCUUGCUCCUCAGCGCCUCCUUGAAUCCUCCGACUUCACGUCGGCUCCUGAGCGCUUUGUCUUUUUCCAAAUAUCUUUAAUUUUUUUCUUUGUCCCUUUUUUUUUUCUUUCUCUCUCUCUCUUUUUUUUUUUUUUUUAAAUUUAUUUUUUUAUUUGUAAACCUUCC